AUUGAACGCUGGCGGCAGGCCUAACACAUGCAAGUCGAGCGGGUGAAGGGAGCUUGCUCCUGGAUUCAGCGGCGGACGGGUGAGUAAUGCCUAGGAAUCUGCCUGGUAGUGGGGGAUAACGUCCGGAAACGGGCGCUAAUACCGCAUACGUCCUGAGGGAGAAAGUGGGGGAUCUUCGGACCUCACGCUAUCAGAUGAGCCUAGGUCGGAUUAGCUAGUUGGUGGGGUAAAGGCCUACCGAGGCGACGAUCCGUAACUGGUCUGAGAGGAUGAUCAGUCACCCUGGAAGUGAGACACGGUCCAGACUCCUACGGGAGGCCGCAGUGGGGAAUAUUGGACGAUGGGGGAAAGCCUGAUCCAGCCCAGCCGCGUGUGUGAAGAAGGUCCUCGGAUUGUAAAGCACUUUAGGUUGGGAGGAAGGGCAGUAAGUUAAUACCUUGCUGUUUUGACGUUACCAACAGAAUAAGCACCGGCUAACUUCGUG
rnacentral:rRNA from 1 species